CAAUUCCGAAAUUUUACAUUGUUGUAGUGCAUUCUUGUUUUUCAUCUUUUCAAAAUUUAUAAGGAUGAGAAACAGAAACAUGAAUUCACGGAAUGUAAACAAAUAUUUUCAAGGAAAUCGCAAUUAGAUGUGCACCUGAGAAGCCAUACUGGUGAGAAACCGUUUCCAUGCGAUAUUUGAUGUUAAAAAUUCUCCCAGUCUGGAAAUUUAACAAUUCACAAAACAAUACAUUCGGAAGAACGACCUUUCAAAUGCAACUGUGGAUAUGCUACAAAAAAAAAAUUUGAUCUGUUAUCACAUGUCAAACGAUUACAUCCACAUGCAAUCGUUUCUGAUAUUAUUACUAUUCCCCCAAAAAACUCGAAAGAAAAUCACAAAUGUGAUAAAUGUGGUAAAAGUUUUCCAUGGUUAUCCACUUUAACAAAACAUCUACUAUCUCAUGAGAAAAGUCGACCGUUUUCAUGUGAUAUUUGUAAGAAAAGGUACAAACAUAAAUUUCACUUAAAAGCACACAUGAAAAUAGUACAUCCACAGGAACAAACAGCAUCUUCUUCCAAGGCAAGCGUUGAAUAUAUUGAAGAUGAAGAAUAUCACAAGGUAGACAAGGAUCAGAAAGAAUCAAUGGAAAAACCAUCAACGAGUGGUCAAAAAUCUCAAUCAGUAGAAUAUGAAGAAUCUGUUGUAGAAAUGCUUAGCAUCGAUUCAGAAAAUAGUGGAAUUAAGAACAGAGACGAAUAUUUAAACAUGAACGAACUGGAACAUUUACCAGAAUUGGAAAUAUUUUCAGAAGUGAUAGUUGAAGAAGUCGAACUAGAAUGUCACAUCUGUCAAGAGAAAUUUGACGACGAAGUAUCUCGUAGAGAACACGAUGCAAAAUUUCAUUAAUUUGAUUAAUCACUUCUGAAUAUUAAUUUGCAAAACAUACAAUUUGGCAGAAAAUCGAAUUAGUAAAUAAGUCCUGUAAAUAUCUUUAUUUUGAAAACUAAAAUUAAUAGAAAAUAUAAAUAAAUUUGUGUUCAAUUCAG
rnacentral:misc_RNA from 1 species